UGAGGAAUAUUGGGCAAUGCCCGCAAGGGUGACCCAGCAACGCCGCGUGGAGGAUGAAUGUCGUAAGAUUGUAAACUCCUGUUAGAGGGGAAGAAUAGUACCGGUUGGACCGGUAUAUGACUGUACCCUCAGAGAAAGCCCCGGCUAACUACGUGCCAGCAGCCGCGGUAAUCCGUAGGGGGCAAGCGUUGUCCGGAUUUACUGGGUGUAAAGGGCGCGCAGGCGGGAUAAAAAGUCAGUGGUGAAAUCCUACAGCUUAACUGUAGAACUGCCUUUGAUACUUUUAUUCUUGAGUUCGGGAGAGAGAGACGGAAUUCCAGGUGUAGUGGUGAAAUACGUAGAUAUCUGGAAGAACACCAGUUGCGAAGGCGGUCUCUUGGUCCGACACUGACGCUGAGGCGCGAAAGCGUGGGGA
rnacentral:rRNA from 1 species